UCUAUGGGCUGAUAACAAAAUAACGUCAGCCAAUCAGAAGACGCGUUACAUCCACAAUUAAAUUAUUCUCAGGUUAAUUUAAAAAAAAUUAAUAAACAUCAGAUUCAGAACGUCAUGUAACAAGGAAUCAAAGCAGAACUCUUUUGCCUUUGUGGUAUAAAUCAUACAACUCUUUAAUAACAAAAUAUGGCUAUACAUAUAACCAAGUACUUUGUUUUUCAAAUUGUUCUUUCCCUUCUAUGUUUGUCUUGGGUUCUUUAGUUAUCUGGUAUUCGAUUAUUCCAUAUUCAUAACUCAGCUAUCAUUUGAAAACACUUGUACAAGUUUUCAUAGAUAUUGUGUAAAGUGAAAAUGAAAACUGACAACUGCUUGUAUUUCUGUUAAAAAUAAGCUACUUUUACGCCUCAAAUUUUCGAAAAUGCGAGAAAGCAAUGGAAUGACAGCUGGAACUUUAUUGUAUUAUUUAUACGCAUACUCCAUGGAAAUGAACCAACUAAUUGCGUCGUCCAUAAUGUACAGCAUACUCCUUCUCAAGCAGACCCACUUAGCAGUACUUUUUGUUUCAGGUUCGUAUACUAUGCUAAAAACUAGAAGCAAAAUUUAUCUACCGUAGUAUCUAUACUGCUACUAUAGCAUUUUAAUGUACGUCAACCAACAUUUAGUUUUACGAGUGUUUUCAUUCCUGUCUGUGUAUAAUUCACGACAUAUUUUAAUUUUUUGUUUGUUGACGCACAAAACAUCA
rnacentral:lncRNA from 1 species